rfam:Moniliophthora roreri strain MCA 2952 kmer90.95516, whole genome shotgun sequence.
GCCCGCCUAGCUCAAUCGGAUAGAGCGUCAGACUCUUACAAAGGCGGGAUCUGAAGGCUGCGAGUUCGACCCUCGCGGUGGGCU